UAUAUAUAUAUAGAGAGCUAGGCUGGUAUAUUAUCGGUAGCACGGAAACCUCCGUACCACCAUAUUGUUUUCAAUGAUGCAGUUUCCAAAUCGGAGAUCGACUCCGUUAGACUUGAUCUAAAUUAUUAAAAGUAUUUGGAAACUAAAUUUUAUAAUUUUUCGACAUCAUUUGGCUAGUAAUCAAAAGAUUCUAAAAUUGACAAAUUUUAAUGGUAGAUGUGAUGCGUUCGUGAAUUUAACGGUGUGAAAUAAUUCAAAUUUGAUAAAAUUUUUAUAAAAUAUUCUUUUCACUAUUUAAAGUAAGAUCAGUACUUCUGAUCUUAAAUUUAAGUUUUCUAUCAUUAUUUUUUAUGAGAUUUUUAUUUUCAGCCAUUUAUUUUAAACUACUCGUUUGAUAAAUAAAUGGUGACGAAAAAUUAUGAAAUUUAAUUUUCAAAUAUUUUCAAUAGUAUAGACAGAUCAAGUCUAACGGACCCGAUCGUCAAUUUCGAAGUCGCAUUAUUGAAAACAACUUAGUAGCACGGAGCCCUCAGUGCUACCGAUAGUAUACCAGUCUCUCUCUCUCUUUAUAUAUAGAGAGAGAGAGAGAGAGAGAGUAAGGCUACUAUACUCUUAUGAGUAUUAGGUCCUUCGUACUAAUAAGUUGUUUUCGAUGAUGAGAUUUCCGAAUCGAUGAUCCACUCCGUUAAAUAUGAUCUAGAGUAUUUGAAAUUUCUAAAAAAUAAAUUUUGUAAUUUUUCGAAAUCAUAAUAAAGUCCAUCAAGCAGAUAUAAAAUGAACGGUCGAAAUCGAACGACGUACAAAAAAUUAAUGAUCGGACCCUUCAAUUUAAGAUCGGGGUUAUCGAUCCUUAUCGAGGUAGUGAAUAGAAUUUUCUUUUAAAAAUUCAACCGAUUCCGAUUCUUUUACAUCGUUAAACUAGCAAGUAUCUCAUACC
rnacentral:lncRNA from 1 species